rnacentral:rRNA from 1 species
AACGAACGCUGGCGGCGUGCCUAACACAUGCAAGUCGUACGAGAAAGUCGGCUUCGGCCGAUGAGUACAGUGGCGCACGGGUGAGUAGCGCGUGGGUAAUCUGCCCCUCGGUCAGGAAUAACCCGCCGAAAGGCGGGCUAAUACCCGAUAACACUGACGCUCUGCGGAGUGUCUUUCAAAGAAGGCCUCUGUUUACAAGCUUUCGCCGGAGGAUGAGCCCCCGUACCAUUAGCUAGUUGGCAGGGUAAUGGCCUACCAAGGCAACGAUGGUUAGCUGGUCUGAGAGGAUGGCCAGCCACACUGGAACUGAGACACGGUCCAGACUCCUACGGGAGGCAGCAGUGAGGAAUCUUGCGCAAUGGGGGAAACCCUGACGCAGCAACGCCGCGUGAGUGAGGAAGGCUUUCGGGUCGUAAAGCUCUGUCAGAUGGGAAGAAAUGGAUGGAAGCCAAUACCUUUCAUUCUUGACGGUACCAUCAGAGGAAGCACCGGCUAACUCCGUGCCAGCCGCCGCAGUAAUAC